UACGGAGGGGACUAGCGUUGUUCGGAAUUACUGGGCGUAAAGCGUACGUAGGCGGUUACUCAAGUCAGAGGUGAAAGCCCGGGGCUCAACCCCGGAACUGCCUUUGAAACUAGGUAGCUAGAAUCUUGGAGAGGUCAGUGGAAUUCCGAGUGUAGAGGUGAAAUUCGUAGAUAUUCGGAAGAACACCAGUGGCGAAGGCGACUGACUGGACAAGUAUUGACGCUGAGGUACGAAAGCGUGGGGAGCAAACAGG
rnacentral:rRNA from 1 species